rnacentral:lncRNA from 1 species
UGCUUUACUGUGGUUAGAUCUAGCCACGAUAAAAGACUAGGGAGAAUAGGUUUUCGAUUAGUCUUUCUCAUUCUUUGGUGGCAGAAAGAAAAAAAAAGACACCAGAAAGAAGAAGUUUCUCCUCCUACAUGAAUGUUGGCCAUCGUUUGUUGGGCAUCUGUUCUCAUGCCUUUUUUUGCCGAGUGUUUGCCUGUGCGAUCAUCCAUACUGCAAAACGUCAUACAUGUUUGG